AUCCAUGAAAAUUGUGUGUGCACGGCGGUGCAUGAAAUCACGGCAGACGUUGGCCGUGUAGCGUGUUUAUCGACACGAGUGUUAUCGCGGUCGGAUCUUGCGCGAAGAGCAGCGCUCGUUCGGGUGGUACCAAUUUGUCGUUCCUUUAUCAACCGUCAUCUGAUGGCGACCCGACACCGCGCUGGGCCGCGGCCAACCGAAUGCAACGUUACCUUGAAGUGACACCGGGCCUACAAUGGGGAACAAAGCGGCGUCCACUUCUUUGCCAGGGGUUUUGUUUCAUUCCGCGGUGGACAAGCCUUGUUAUUUGUCAUGCAUUUUGACCCUCGCCGAUUUCAUCUCGGAUAUUUUUCUCUGCCUGGUAGAGGUGCUCGCGCGCCAAUUCUAAAGAAGAUUCGUACACGCGUGUCUUUGAGAACCGAGCGUUUUUCGCGAGAAGAAAGUGAACGGUGUAUGAUAAGGAAUUGAUUUUGAUUUACAAUGAGAGAUGUUCCUGUUAUUUCUAAUCGAAAUGAUGUGAAUGAUUGACUAAGACGAUAUCGACAGUUAUUAUAUCAAGAUAACUGAUUUUUUACACCGGCUAGAAAUAAUAGAAAUUGAAUUUGCAAGAAUAUACAAGCUAAAGAGAAGAUACAAGCAUCUUGUACCAUCGAUGCAGGUUCAAUCACAGGGUACAAGUACAAGUCCAAUGGCGUAAUCUUCCUUCAUGUCACUCGAUCAUCGUUCAGAUGAAUUUACAGUUUCACACUUAACGGGCCAUUAUGAUGUUAAUGGCGUUAUUAAUUACUGGAAGAGACACCUCCAAGCUUCGAUGAAGGUUUCCACAGUACGAUACAAUCGCUGCGAGAAGGCUCCAUUAACCUUUAAACAGAUGCUGAGAAAAAUGAAUAAUGAGUCGUGCAAUCGCGAUUUCAGAUGUUAAAAUAAUAAGCCGUAGUAGAAUGUGAUCGCAUACGAUGUAGGUAUCAAUUAUUUAUGAAUGACACGGGACAAUUUUUCUACAAAGCUUCACACGAGUAACGAACCGGAACUAACGACCAAAUUAAACGUAUCUUUUGGGAAUAUCACGGUAUCUACAUUUCUUUUUGUAACGUAAUACCACUGAAUUAAGCAUUAAGUUAAGUUAAAAGGAUAAUACGUCGUGAAAUUUGAUCAGAAACAUCAAAAAGAUUGGCCAUUUAUUAUUAUUUAAUUCUUAUUUGAAAAAUUAUGAUGAGCUUAGUUUCCAUUUUAGAAAAUACAAAUUAUCUAUUACUGGAAAAAAAAAUGGACUUUUCUCAGAAUUUCUAAGGUAACGUAUAAUUGUACUACUAAUAAAAAAAAAAAGGAUAUUGCAAAAAUUUAAAAAUUUACAGAAUAUCUAACAAAUCGUAAGA